AACAGGGCUCCACUAAACUGAGGAUGCCAAAAAUGAGGUUCAGAAUGAAGAUGCCAAAAAGAGGCAGCAGGAAAGUGUCUCCCACCAAUGCCUUUUCUGACACAACUGAUAAGCAAUCAGAGACCUCUGCCCCUGGUAUGCCAUGUGAUGAGAGGAAUACAUCUGCGUCUGCUUCUGGACUGAAGACUCGCAAACGAUCCUUUUUCCUCAGGAUUUUCACAUGCUGCAUAGGCACAUCUGAAGCCUAGGCCAUUAUUAUUCUUAAAAAGUAUAUCUUCCCUUUCUUUCCCCAAUUGUUUCCAGUCAAAUAUAUUAAUAAAGUUUUUGCCUUCCUUA